UUAACAGCGAGGAAAGGGACAUGUAAAUGCGAAAAAUAUUUUAAAGAGAGUGAGGAAUGGUGAAAACUCAUAAAUGCUUCGCAUUGAAGAUCACCCUUAAGCUGCAGGCUGAAACAAGAGUAAGCUGUGCCGGUGCAAGCCGUUAUGUAAUUGAGUAAAAAAUUGGGUGGUACCGCGAACAGACUUCUCGCCCCAGGC
rnacentral:ncRNA from 1 species